GUUUAAACUCAUUCAUGAGUUAUGCCUAUAUGUCCUCUCAGCUUCUCAAAGACAGGAUCUUAUACGUGCAACUCUGUCUGCGUUGCAUGCCUAUCUUUCCUGGAUUCCAUUGGGUUAUAUUUUUGAGUCUCCUUUGCUUGAGACCCUCCUUAAAUUUUUUCCUGUUCCAGCAUAUAGGAACCUCACUCUUCAAUGUCUGACUGAGGUUGCAGCUCUUAAUUUUGGGGACUUCUACAAUG